rnacentral:lncRNA from 1 species
GGCAGUUAGCCCGCCCGCUCGGCGCAGGGCGUGGCUUCUCGUAGCCAUUAGGAAACAGCAACCCUUUCACCUCAGUUUUCUUCACUCCGGCAUUUGCAGCAGAGCGAAAGGUGGUCGAGUCCUGAAGGAGGGCCUGAUGUCUUCAUCAUUCUCAAAUUCUUGUAAGCUCUGCGUCGGGUGAAACCAGACAAAGCCGCGAGCCCAGGGAUGGGAGCACGCGGGGGACGGCCUGCCGGCGGGGACGACAGCAUUGCGCCUGGGUGCAGCAGUGUGCGUCUCGGGGAAGGGAAGAUAUUUUAAGGCGUGUCUGAGCAGACGGGGAGGCUUUUCCAAACCCAGGCAGCUUCGUGGCGUGUGCGGUUUCGACCCGGUCACACAAAGCUUCAGCAUGUCAUGUGUCAUUAUGUUGUCCAGGCUGGUCUUGAACUCCUGGGCUCAAGCGAUCAUCCGGCCUCGGCCUCCUAAAGUGCUGGGACUGCAGGUCACGACAUUUAGUGAGGUAUUCACAACAUUGUCUGUGACCAAGCGCUCUGGGGCAAGCAUCCUCCAGGCUGGCUGCUGAGGUUAAGCCCCAGUGUGGAUGCUGUUGCCAAGACUGCAAACCACUGGCUCGUUUCCGUGCCCAAAUCCAAGGCGAAGUUUUCUAGAGGGUUCUUGGGCUCUUGGCACCUGCGUGUCCUGUGCUUACCACCGCCCAAGGCCCCCUUGGAUCUCUUGGAUAGGAGUUGGUGAAUAGAAGGCAGGCAGCAUCACACUGGGGUCACUGACAGACUUGAAGCUGACAUUUGGCAGGGCAUCGAAGGGAUGCAUCCAUGAAGUCACCAGUCUCAAGCCCAUGUGGUAGGCGGUGAUGGAACAACUGUCAAAUCAGUUUUAGCAUGACCUUUCCUUGUGGAUUUUCUUAUUCUCGUUGUCAAGUUUUCUAGGGUUGAAUUUUUUUCUUUUUUCUCCAUGGUGUUAAUGAUAUUAGAGAUGAAAAACGUUAGCAGUUGAUUUUUGUCCAAAAGCAAGUCAUGGCUAGAGUAUCCAUGCAAGGUGUCUUGUUGCAUGGAAGGGAUAGUUUGGCUCCCUUGGAGGCUAUGUAGGCUUGUCCCGGGAAAGAGAACUGUCCUGCAGCUGAAAUGGACUGUUCUUUACUGACCUGCUCAGCAGUUUCUUCUCUCAUAUAUUCCCAAAACAAGUACAUCUGCGAUCAACUCUAGCCAAAUUUGCCCCUGUGUGCUACAUGAUGGAUGAUUAUUAUUUUAAGGUCUGUUUAGGAAGGGAAAUGGCUACUUGGCCAGCCAUUGCCUGGCAUUUGGUAGUAUAGUAUGAUUCUCACCAUUAUUUGUCAUGGAGGCAGACAUACACCAGAAAUGGGGGAGAAACAGUACAUAUCUUUCUGUCUUUAGUUUAUUGUGUGCUGGUCUAAGCAAGCUGAGAUCAUUUGCAAUGGAAAACACGUAACUUGUUUAAAAGUUUUUCUGGUAGCUUUAGCUUUAUGCUAAAAAAAAUAAUGACAUUGGGUAUCUAUUUCUUUCUAAGACUACAUUAGUAGGAAAAUAAGUCUUUUCAUGCUUAUGAUUUAGCUGUUUUGUGGUAAUUGCUUUUUAAAGGAAGUUAUUAAUAUCAUAAGUUAUUAUUAAUAUUUUGAACACAGGUGGAUGUGAAGGAUUUUCAUUUAAAAACCAAGUGGUUUUGACUUUUUCUGUUGAAUGAACAACUGUGCCUUGUGGAAUUUUUGCAGAAGUGUUUAUGCUUUGUUAGCAUUUCAACUUGCAUUAUUAUAAAGAGGUAUUAAUGCCUCAGUUAUGUGUUUGUCAAUGUACUGGCUGAGGAUUCUAUCUCAGCUGUCUUUUCUAACUGUGUAGGUUGAGUUUUGAACACGUGCUUGUGGACAUCAGGCCUCCUGCCAGCAGUUCUUGAAGCUUCUUUUUCAUUCCUGCUACUCUACCUGUAUUUCUCAGUUGCAGCACUGAGUGGUCAAAAUACAUUUCUGGGCCACCUCAGGGAACCCAUGCAUCUGCCUGGCAUUUAGGCAGCAGAGCCCCUGACCGUCCCCCACAGGGCUCUGCCUCACGUCCUCAUCUCAUUUGGCUGUGUAAAGAAAUGGGAAAAGGGAAAAGGAGAGAGCAAUUGAGGCAGUUGACCAUAUUCAGUUUUAUUUAUUUAUUUUUAAUUUGUUUUUUUCUCCAAGUCCACCAGUCUCUGAAAUUAGAACAGUAGGCGGUAUGAGAUAAUCAGGCCUAAUCAUGUUGUGAUUCUCUUUUCUUAGUGGAGUGGAAUGUUCUAUCCCCACAAGAAGGAUUAUAUCUUAUAGACUUGUCUUGUUCAGAUUCUGUAUUUACCCAUUUUAUUGAAACAUAUACUAAGUUCCAUGUAUUUUUGUUACAAAUCUUCUGAAAAAAAACAAAACAAUGUGAAACAUUAAAAUUAAAAGGCAUUAAU